CCCUAUAGAAUUUUAUAUUGCUGCAUUUUAAUACUUAAUAUAGAAUAUGUAGUAAUAUUUGGUUGGGAGGACUAUUAAAUUUAAAUAACUUUAAUUUUUGAUUACUUUGAUUUAAGAAAAUACAAUGAUCUUUAAAUUAAAAUAUCUAGAUUAAAUUACCUUAGGGAUAACAGCGUAAUAUUUUUUUAUAGAUCGUAUAGAAAAAAAUGAUUGCGACCUCGAUGUUGAAUUAAGAUAAAUUUUAAACGCAGGAGUUUAAUGAUUAAGUCUGUU
rnacentral:rRNA from 1 species